rnacentral:sRNA from 1 species
UAUCCGUGAAGAUGCAGUAUUCUAGUCAAUUCUAUUUGUUAGGAAGACGAAGUUUAUAGCGUCGCCGGGCAAAUCUGUGAAGUUUCUGGUGCUGGCUUUGGUUGCCCAAACUGGGGCUGGUGCUGGAAGUUAAGAUUUUUGGGAGCUCUAUAACGGCAUAUAGAACCCUACCCAAUUAUCGUGGAGACCCAACAGGGUGCUGGACUAAACCUGUACUCUCUGGGAAGAACCUGCAUGUGGUAAGAGCUGCGUGCAUUGUAGCCUGCUUUGAGUGGAAACACCGGGAUUAAGUAUCAAACAUACAUUAGUCUUCUCGGCCGAAUGGUUAAUGUAUCUGCUUAUGAAAUUAUUUCUGCAAAAAAAGCUAAUAACAUUUAGCGUUGCCAAGGAAAACUUCUAGACUGUUGAUUUUUUCAGAUGUUUUAAGGAUUAUAGUGUGUUCUAAGUGGCGAUUCGGUGAAAUGCUUCGCUUAAAAGGAAACUGCUUUUUGCGGUGACGCAAAGUGCGAAACUGGGAAAUCCUACCGAACCUAUGACGCAAGGUUUACUUAAGACAUUAUCUUCAC